rnacentral:lncRNA from 1 species
GUAAUCCUACUUUAUACAUUUUAAACAUUAUUCUGAGAAGUAGUCCACAUGGUUCACUUAUUAAGAAGUUCACGGCACACACAAAAACAAACAAAAAAGAAUUAGAAACUCCUGCUCUUAUAAAUAAACCUUACAAGGGUUAAAUUCAGAGUGAUUAACAGUGACCAGACAACCAACUGACUCAUCAAAAUCCCAUGUCACAGCUAACAAGAACUAAGUUUGCAAUGAAUUAAAUGAAAAUUACCUUUUCCCUAUUUGCAGGCUGCUCCAUGUCAUGUAUCUCAUUAUAGGCUGAUAAUAAGUUUGAUGAAACCAGCUUAUUACACCAAAUCAAAGCCAAGAUUGAAAGAAAAUAUAACAAAAGAGAGAAUUACUUAUUUUGUCAACCUCCAAACCAGAUUCCUAUUCUAAAAAAUCACAAAUAAAGCAAACCUACCAUUUGCAGCAAACUCUAAACCAAGAAAAAUGAUCACCUUUGUUGCUUAUUUCAGAAAGCCAAGAUAAAAAGAGCAGAAUGUGCAGAAAAGUAUGUGCUGCACUAGACCUCUGGUCCAACCCUCACAAUCAUC